AUGGCCGCUCCGCCGCCGGUGCUCACCCUGGCGGUGGAGAAGGGCCCGCGCGAGGGAGAGACCCGGCGAUGCCGCGCGGGCGCCGCGCUCCGCGUCGGCCGCGUCGCCUCCGGCAACGACCUCUCCGUGCGCGACGUGGGCGCGUCGCAGCGCCACCUCACCAUCGAGUUCCUCCCGCCUCCCGCGUCCCGUUGGGCCGUGUCCGAUCUCGGCUCCUCCAAUGGCACCUUCAUCAAUGGCGCCCGCCUCCUGCCCUCCGUCCCCGCCCCCCUCUCCCACGGGGACCUAAUCAUCCUCGGUCAGUCCACCGUGCUCGCCGUGUCCAUCGCACCUGAUUCGGAUGUGAAACCCGGUCCUAGGCGCUCCUCGCGCCGCGCGGCGGCGGUGGCGGUGGCGGAGGAGAAGCCGACCCCAUCCGUCACCCGCCUGAGCACACGGAAGAUGGUGGGGACGAGGGCGGCGGCGGCGUUGGAACCCUCCGAAACUGAGAAGGGAGGGCCGGAUGCAGCGGCAGUAGUGGUGGAGGAAGAGAGCCACCGGGUAGUUACACGUGGUGGCGGACGGAAGAAGGUGGCUAGAGCGGAGUCCCUCGAAGCGGGUAAGGAAGAGAUGGAGGAGGCCGCAGUGGCGACACUCUGCGGUAGGAGGAAGAAGGUUGUGGAGCCCCCUGAACUGGAGAAGGCAGAUGAACAGAAAGAGGAGAAGGCUGCGGUGGCAACACGCGGCAGGAAGAGGAAGAAGGCUGUGGAGUCCCCUGAACUGGAGAAGGCAGAUGAACAGAAAGAGGAGAAUGCCGCGGUGGCAACACGCUGCAGGAAGAGGAAGAAUUCUGUGGAGUCCCCUGAACUGGAGACUGCAGAUGAACAGAAAGAGGAGAAGGCCGCGGUGGCAACACAUGGUGGGAAGAGGAAGAAGGCUGAGCCCUCUGAACCGGAGAAAGGAGAUGAGGGGAAGGAGGACGCCGGGGUGGUGACAUGCCGCGAUGGUAGGGAGGUUGCAACGACGGUUGCUCUUCCACCGCUGCCUCCAAAGACAAGGUCCAGAAGGGUCCAGGGAAGGGUCACAAGGGCUCGUGCAAGGAAGGCUGUUCUUGAGGAGGAGGAGGAGGCUGGGGAUGAAGAAGUGGAAGGGACUGCAAAUGCAUUGGAGGAAGUGCCUGUUGCUCAGAGAGGGCUGGUACGUAGAGCGCCAAAAGGGAUGACCAAUACUGAGUUCACUGCUUCUCACAACGGGGGUAGGGAGAUAAAUGAAGGUGGAGGAGAGGCGGAGAAUGGAAAGAUGGAAGUAGUUAACAGCGGAGGAGAGUUAGAGGAUGAUGAGAAGGGUGAGAAGCAUGCUGGGAGAAGCAGCCUGGACACUAUUACAUUGCAGGAGUGGUUCGAGGGGAUGGAAAGGUACCUUCCAAGGAUGAUCAAUGAAGCUGCUGAUGAGAUGAUAGUGACGCUGGAGGAGAAACAUCGGCGCAUCAAUGAGUACAUUUCAGUGCUCGGGAAUAGUUCCUAUCCUUCUUGA
rnacentral:rRNA from 1 species